GAUGAACGCUGGCGGCGUGCCUAAUACAUGCAAGUAGGACACAGUUGCGAACGGGUGAGUAACGCGUAGGUAACUACCUAUUAGAGGGGGAUAACUAUUGGAAACGCUAGCUAAUACCGCAUACUCGUAGAUGGACCUGCGUUUGAUUAGCUAGGAGGUAGGGUAAAGGCCUACCUAGGCAACGAGACAUAGCCGGCCUGGGAUGGUUGUCGGCCACACGGGGACUGGGACACGGCCCCGGCUCCUACGGGAGGCAGCAGUAGGGAAUCUUCGGCAAUGGGGGGAACCCUGACCGAGCAACGCCGCGUGAGUGAAGAAGGUUUUCGGAUCGUAAAGCUCUGUUGUUAAGGAAGCGGUACUUAACCAGAAAGGGACGGCUAACUACGUGCCAGCAGCCGCGGUAAUAC
rnacentral:rRNA from 1 species